rnacentral:tRNA from 1 species
ACUCCAGUGACGCAGUGGUUAGCGUGUCGUUCUUAUAAUGCGAAAGUCGUGGGUUAGACACCCACCUGGAGUA